CAGGAUUUGGGAAUUCAUAAGCCAGCAAUGCAGCACUGUCCCUUUCCAGCAGAGGAAACACUUCAAAAAAGGCCACCCCACAUCUCCGAGUCCCCCCUCUGCUUGGCACUGCUUUCCUGCUAGGUGUGAUGAACAAAGAAAGCAGCUGCCUGCCUCUCAAUGAUGACAGAUGCUGCCAACAGCAGCCUCCUGCAGUGAUUUGUAUUCAUUAAAAAUAGGAGUAACUGUAGAUGAAAGUAUGACUAACCUGCCCAGGAUCCCCCACUGAUGUCUACCUGAUAACAAGGAACAUAGUUUUCAUCAAUGAAGAUUUGCAUUCAUAAAUUUAAAAAUGUGCAAUUUCAAGUAUUUAU